AUUGAACGCUGGCGGCAUGCUUUACACAUGCAAGUCGAACGGCAGCGCGGGCUGCGGCCUGGCGGCGAGUGGCGAACGGGUGAGUAAUGCAUCGGAACGUGCCCAGUAGUGGGGGAUAGCCCGACUAAAGCCGGAUUAAUACCGCAUACGACCUGAGGUUGAAAGGGGGGGACCGAAAGGGCUCGCCCGAUUUGAUCGGCCGAUGUCGGAUUAGCUAGUUGGUGUGGUAAAGGCUUACCAAGGCGACGAUCCGUAGCUGGUCUGAGAGGACGACCAGCCACACUGGGACUGAGACACGGCCCAGACUCCUACGGGAGGCAGCAGUGGGGAAUCUUGGACAAUGGGGGCAAGCCUGAUCCAGCCACGCCGCGUGCGGGAAGAAGGCCUUCGGGUUGUAAAACGCUUUUGUUCGGGAAGAAAUCCUCUGGGCUAAUACCCCGGGGGGAUGACGGUACCGGAAGAGUAAGCAACGGCUAACUACGUG
rnacentral:rRNA from 1 species